CGAAUAGGGGAGCCGGAGGGAAACCGAGUCUUAACCGGGCGUUAAGUUGCAGGGUAUAGACCCGAAACCCGGUGAUCUAGCCAUGGGCAGGUUGAAGGUUGGGUAACACUAACUGGAGGACCGAACCGACUAAUGUUGAAAAAUUAGCGGAUGACCUGUGGCUGGGGGUGAAAGGCCAAUCAAACCGGGAGAUAGCUGGUUCUCCCCGAAAGCUAUUUAGGUAGCGCCUCGUGAAUUCAUCUCCGGGGGUAGAGCACUGUUUCGGCUAGGGGGCCAUCCCGGCUUACCAACCCGAUGCAAACUGCGAAUACCGGAGAAUGUUAUCACGGGAGACACACGGCGGGUGCUAACGUCCGUCGUGAAGAGGGAAACAACCCAGACCGCCAGCUAAGGUCCCAAAGUCAUGGUUAAGUGGGAAACGAUGUGGGAAGGCCCAGACAGCCAGGAUGUUGGCUUAGAAGCAGCCAUCAUUUAAAGAAAGCGUAAUAGCUCACUGGUCGAGUCGGCCUGCGCGGAAGAUGUAACGGGGCUAAACCAUG
rnacentral:rRNA from 1 species